GUUUUUAAUAACUGUCAUCAAAAGAGUGGCUUAACUGUAAAGUGAAAAUGUAAUAAAAAAAUGCAAUGCAUUACACAUUAGCAACUUAAAACAAAUCAGCUUUACUCAGCUUCUUUCCUUAGAAUUGUUACAUACAAUAUUCUCUUCACAAAAGAUUAAGUUGUUUUCUCAUCAUUGUAGAUUCCAAAGUACAAGUCAUUUAGGUUCAAUUACUUAUUCAUCUUUAUUACCUGGUCUGCUAGAUACAAUAGAAUGACUACCAGUAAAUAUUGAGAAACGUCCAUUCCGUUAUUUCCUUAAGUGUUCUCCAUGGAAUUUAGAUCUUUGGGAUGCUGCAUUACAUAAAGGAAGUAACCCAUCUUCGGUCAGUGCAGUGCAAGUACACUCCAGGGAACCACAGCUCCAAGUUGCUCUUCCUCUCCUGCAAAAUCACUCUUGGGGUUACCGCUCUUACCUAAAAAGGCCAGGGGAGAACAGGAUCAGUUCUGGGACAGGUUCUAUAUUGUUUGGGCUAUGGCAGUUUGGCAGUAAUGAGAACACUUUCGCCUUCACAGUACUGUCAGCAGGCAACGUCAGCCUACAAUCCCUUGAAAUCACCAAUUAG
rnacentral:lncRNA from 12 species